rnacentral:piRNA from 1 species
UUAAGAAGAAACCACACACCAAUGGAG